UUGUGGAUAAACGGGAUCUGGCAAGUGUUUUCUGCUGCAACUAGCUGGUUUACGGGAGGCAAUCAUAGAGCGGAAGAGUUCUUUUGGCGGAUGAGGCUUUCCUGUCCGUCCGUAUUAAGGUCCGUUCGGGUAAACCAGGGAAACUAUCUUUAUAAUAUUUCAGGAAACCUAGGACUCAAACACCGUAAACUACUAUAUUCUAGGCCAGAGCUCUACCCUAAUGUUCGCGCACGCGUGGAUAUAAUUGGAACUUCACACGGGAUGGCGACGAUACGACAACACGGGAAAAGGAAUAGUUGACCGUCCGUCUUGUCGUCCAGGUAAAAUCUAUCACUUAGUCGGAAAACCAAAAACUGAUACCAGAGCACCCCAGGCGUGGUGGUGCUGGAAAACAGCUUCUCCCUCGUUGGAUGGAGUCGUGUUGCAGUGGCUUUGCAGGUUUGUUCGUUUUUCUUUUGCUUUUAUUUUUUAUAUUUUAAGAUUUAGUUUUAAGUGUAGCUUUAAGUUUAGCAUUAAGUUUAGCUUUAAGUUUAAA